rnacentral:rRNA from 1 species
CCUUGACAUGCUAAGAACUUUCCAGAGAUGGAUUGGUGCCUUCGGGAACUUAGAUACAGGUGCUGCAUGGCUGUCGUCAGCUCGUGUCGUGAGAUGUUGGGUUAAGUCCCGNAACGAGCGCAACCCUUUUCCUUAUUUGCCAGCGGGUCAUGCCGGGAACUUUAAGGAUACUGCCAGUGACAAACUGGAGGAAGGCGGGGACGACGUCAAGUCAUCAUGGCCCUUACGGCCAGGGCUACACACGUGCUACAAUGGUCGGUACAAAGGGUUGCUACCUCGCGAGAGGAUGCUAAUCUCAAAAAGCCGAUCGUAGUCCGGAUCGCAGUCUGCAACUCGACUGCGUGAAGUCGGAAUCGCUAGUAAUCGCGGAUCAGAAUGCCGCGGUGAAUACGUUCCCGGGCCUUGUACACACCGCCCGUCACACCAUGGGAGUUUGUUGCACCAGAAGUAGGUAGUCUAACCGCAAGGAGGACGCUUACCACGGUGUGGCCGAUGACUGGGGUGAAGUCGUAACAAGGUAAGCGUAGAUGA